CGCCCGAUGACCCCGUUAUCCAGAACUCCGCCAGCCGCCGCCACGGGUCCCGCUCCUCUCCCCGAGCUCUCUCCCGACCCUAACAGACCAGAACUUGUUGAGGUCCGCCACCACCGAGGUGCAAAUCUGUGGCUCCUGGAGUCCUUCGGCGCCAUCCAGGAGCUCUCAUCCCAAUCCACGACGGAUUCCAGCGGUAGGAGUAUCAACGUUGGCGCAACAAAGGAGAGCAUAGGAGAUCGAGGAGGGAUGGGCAAUUGUGACGAGAUGGUUGGAGGUCAAGCAGCGGCGCUGGAGACAAGGACCCGUGGCACGAAGAUCUAUCAUCUUCGUCACCCGCACCAUGUGUUUCGCACAGCUCGGCACAGUUGUGGACCUGUGGUGUUGGGGCUGCAGGCUCAUCCAUCCUCCUCGCCGGUCCCUCACCAAUCCUCGUGGCACCACAUAUUCCACUGGGAAACGUUGAACUGGCAGAAGCCAGCGGACUGAGCUCGUCAUCGUGGCAUCAAACCAUAAAAUGAAGUCAGAGUCCACCCAAAUUGUUUGCAAGCAUCCAAGAAGCGGCGGAUGGCGUACCAGAUCCGAGGCGACACCACCGCCACCUGCAACUUGUCCUCCUUGGUCUGAUUCGCCACCCUAUAUCCCCCAAAACCUCACAAGUUUGCAGUGGAAAAAGGGGUCGGAAACUGAAUAUUGUUAUGCCAACACACUUCUUGCUGGUGUGUGCUUUUAUCAAUAAGAUGCAUGCUUCUGAAGAGAAUGUGAACAACAACCUUUGCUUCUACUAGGCUAAAUCCUGCGUACAGGCUGCAAAAAAAAGUCCUUCGCCACGCCCAGAUGGCAUCUAUAUAAGGAGAUACAGAUCUCCAAAUGGCAUCUCGCGUCGCGCAGAUGGAAAACCGCCAAGUUUAGCCACGAACAAAGCCCGCCAUCAUGAAUAGCGCCCCAGGCUCUUCUUCGCGCCCUCACGGCCUCCUAUCCCCGCUGCAGUACGAGCUGCAUCAGCAGGGAAGGCCGCUGCUUCAGCAGUAACAGCGCGCCACUGCUGAUGCUACAAGGGGAGUCGGAGGUGGGGUGGGGCACUGCGACGGUCACAUUCCGGGGAAGUCUGUCAAAGCUUAAGAAAGGUGAGGUGGCGCUGGAUCGAUUUGUUCUCUGGAAAUGCAGGUUUAGCAGAUGAGUUGAUCUUCCUGUUGAAGUUUAUUUCGAAGUGAUGCGUGUAGUUCUCGUAUGCUGAUGCUGCUAGCUUUUGUGCCUCAUUUAGGUGUGGCUCUCGUUAUAUGAUGUAGCACAUUGUGGGCUCUACAUCAUACAACACUGACAUCAUACAAUACAUUGUGGCCUAUACAUCAUACAACGCUGACAAAAUUUAUUUGCGGGUCAUCAA